rnacentral:rRNA from 1 species
UUGAACGCUGGCGGUAUGCUUUACACAUGCAAGUCGAACGGCAGCGCGGGGCAACCUGGUGGCGAGUGGCGAACGGGUGAGUAACAUAUCGGAACAUAUCCGGAAGUGGGGGAUAACGUAGCGAAAGUUACGCUAAUACCGCAUAUGCCCUGAGGGGGAAAGGGGGGGAUCGCAAGACCUCUCGCUUUCGGAGUGGCCGAUAUCAGAUUAGCUAGUUGGUGAGGUAAAGGCUCACCAAGGCGACGAUCUGUAGCUGGUCUGAGAGGACGACCAGCCACACUGGAACUGAGACACGGUCCAGACUCCUACGGGAGGCAGCAGUGGGGAAUUUUGGACAAUGGGCGCAAGCCUGAUCCAGCCAUGCCGCGUGAGUGAAGAAGGCCUUCGGGUUGUAAAGCUCUUUCAGCCGGAAAGAAAUCGCACUGGUUAAUACCUUGUGUGGAUGACGGUACCGGAAGAAGAAGCACCGGCUAACUACGU